UGACAAUAAGGUCUAGACACAGGGAG
rnacentral:piRNA from 1 species